UGACCAGUGUUAUUACUGUUACCAGUGUUAUUACAUUGACCAGUGUUAUUACAUUGACCAGUGUUAUUACAUUUACCAGUGUUAUUACAUUUACUGUUGUUACAGGCCUGCAGGACCCCUGUUCAACAUUGUCUCCUCUCAGAAUGUCAAGCUACUUCUAUGAAUGAAAGAUGAAUUUUCAUUUUAAAGAAUGAAUGAAGCUCUAAACAAGAUGUUGUGAAUCUGAGAAAGCUCUAAAUGUUCUUUCUCUCCUAGAGGGUGGGUCUGACUUCCUGUCUGUAGCCCAUGUGACUUCCUGUCUGUAGCCCAUGUGACUGACAAUGACAGUUGUGAUGACAUCAUGAUGGUUAUUCCUCCACUAAGGUUUCGUCAACGGUCUUCUGGGGUUUAUUGCCAUCAUCACAGCGGCUGGACUACCACAGUCUGACGGUGAAGUCUACCUGAGACUCCAAGCCAAACCCUACAGAGUCCACACCUCCGGUUCCUUCAUCUGCAGCCCUCUGCUUUAAUACCCUAAUGGCAUAUCUAGAACCAGACUACAAGAUGCCAUGUAGAAAAACGUGACGGUCCCGACGGAGAAAUUAUACAACGACUCUGCUCUGCAAGUACAAAGCACAAGCUCUACAAUCACCAUACGUGGCGUUAACAACAGCCUGUUGGACGUCUAUUAACACGCUGUUAUACAUCACUGCAAAGAGCCAUCACACGGAUGAGAAGUGGGACAUGACGUACUGACAACUGAUGGAGGAGAGACACAGCAGAGAGCCUAAAACGUUGUUGAGUGGGUGGGGGACAGCUGUAACUAACCAGAUUACAACCAGGUAAAGGCGAUAAAACAAAGGUACAUCAGGAUUAUAUUUUUGUCCAGAAA